CCUACGGGAGGCAGCAGUGGGGAAUAUUGCACAAUGGGGUAAACCUUGAUGCAGCGACGCCGCGUGAGUGAAGAAGUAUUUCGGUAUGUAAAGCUCUAUCAGCAGGGAAGAAGAAAGACGGUACCUGACUAAGUAGCCCCGGCGAACUACGUGCCAGCAGCCGCGGUAAUACGUAGGGGGCAAGCGUUAUCCGGAUUUACUGGGUGUAAAGGGAGCGUAGACGGUUGGAUAAGUCUGAGGUGAAAGCCCAGGGCUCAACCCUGGGACUGCUUUGGAAACUGUGGAGCUAGAGUGCUGGAGCGGUAGGUGGAAUGCGUAGUGUAGCGGUGAAAUGCGUAGAUAUUAGGAGGAACACCGAUGGCGAAGGCAGCUUACUAAACCGCAACUGACGUUGAUGCACGAAAGCGUGGGUAGCGAACAGGAUUAGAUACCCCUGUAGUC
rnacentral:rRNA from 1 species